UCUUUUGAGAAUUUGAUCCUAGUUCAGGACGAACGCUAGCGGCGUGUUUAACGUAUGCAAGUCGAACGAACCUCAACAUCUGUUUUAAACCGGCUUGCCGGGGAAAAACUUCGUUGUGGUUAGUGGCGAACGGCUGAGUAAUACGUAGGUAUCUACCCCUAACUCAGGGAUAACUUGGGGAAACCCUUGCUAAUAUCUGAUAGUCUGUCAGCACUUCGGUGUUUGCCAGUAAAGAUUUAUCGGUUAGGGACGAGCCUGCGGCCUAUCAGGUUGUUGGUGAGGUAAUGGCUCACCAAGCCUAUGACGGGUACCUGGUCUGAGAGGAUGUACAGGCAGAGGGGCACUGAGACACGGGCCUCACUCCUACGGGAGGCAGCAACCGAGAAUCUUGCGCAAUGGGCGAAAGCCUGACGCAGUGACGCCGCGUGAAGGAUGAAGGCCUUCGGGUUGUAAACUUCUGAAAAUAGCACCGGCUAACUACGUGCCAGCAGCAGCGGUCAUACGUAGGGUGCAAGCGUUGUCCGGAUUUACUGGGCGUAAAGAGUUCUGUAGGCUGUUUUGUAAGUCAGUGGUGAAAUACUCCAGCUCAACUGGAGGAGCGCUAUUGAAACUGCAUUACUGGAGGUAGUUAGGGGAUAGCGGAACUCAUGGUGGAGCAGUGAAAUGCGUUGAUAUCAUGGGGAACACCAAGGGAGAAGUCAGCUAUCUGGGACUUACCUGACGCUGAGAGACGAAAGCCAGGGGAGCGAAACGGAUUAGAUACCCGUGUAGUCCUGGCCGUAAACGAUGCCUGCUAGAUGCCUGUCUUUCGUAUGGGUGUCGAAGCUAACGCGUUAAGCAGGCCGCCUGGG
rnacentral:rRNA from 1 species